AUACGGAGGGUGCAAGCGUUAUUCGGAAUCACUGGGCGUAAAGGACGCGUAGGCGGGUUGGCAAGUCAGAUGUGAAAUCCUACAGCUUAACUGUAGAACUGCAUUUGAAACUGCUAACCUAGAGUAUGGGAGGGGGAGAUGGAAUUAGUGGUGUAGGGGUAAAAUCCGUAGAUAUCAAUAGGAAUACCGAAAGCGAAGGCGAUCUCCUGGAACAUAACUGACGCUAAGGCGUGAAAGCGUGGGGAGCAAACAGGAUUAGAAACCCUAGUAGUCC
rnacentral:rRNA from 1 species